AUAAAAUAUGUAUGUAGGCAUAGAAAUCCAUUCUUUAAAAAGGAGUCAGAGAACACAGCUACCAAAGCAAAAAGAAAGAGUGGUUAAAAGUGAACCAUCAAAGCACAAUUAAAACUUUGCCGCCCAAAAUGACGUUGUCCUUCCAUCUUCAUCUGAUUUCUUGCACACAUACAAAUCAACCACACAACUGGUUUCGACCAUCUCUAUCUCUCGACACCCCUACAACCCACCUUCACUUCCAUGGUUAAACACCACGAUGUAGUUCGCCACCCGCAAUCAGUAUCGGACACCUUCACAACACCGUAACACCUUUCGUUAAGCCUUGCACCCCGCCGGAGAAGGACCGCAACACCUCGGAGUAAUCGAGGUGCCUUCGAAGAAUAACAAGCCUUCCCGGAACGUGAAGACGACACUGAAGACUUUCGGAGCUUACGACGGAACUCAACCCGUCACCGUCUUGCCGCCGGAACUCGAAGACGUCACGGAGCACGAGUCGGAGACGACCGAGGUUCACAACGGGAAUCAUCUCGUCAUCUCAUCGCCGAAGCUGUUCGAAUCACGUUGAAGCUUACUGUUCGGUAUACAUCUCCCAACGAUAUCUUUUCCUGUGUUCAUUCGUUUUGGCAUUUAAAUUAUAGCAUCAUGCCUUGUUAUAUUUAUAAUUUUCUUUAAACAUUCUUUGAUGCUUUAUUAUUUUGGUGAAGCAUGUAUUGGUGGCUGGCCCUUUUAAUUCCUUGACCAAUAAGUCGUUGAUGUUUCAUUCAUCUAUAAACAUCUAGAACUAAACAAAAAAACAUAAUAAAAGAAACAAUAACAGUGUUUGUGCGGUUUAUUUGUAAUGAAGAAGAAGGCUAAAUAAUCUAAUCUAAUCUAUAUAUAUAUAUAAAUGAGAUGGAUUUGGGCUAUGUGUCCUUUGUCUUUGGCCAUCUAGGCUGAUGUGGCAAUUUGGUUUAGGAGGGAAAUCCCAAUUUGCUUUGUACAAUCACGAUUCCAAAGAAAAAAGGCGGGAUCCGAAUUGAGUUGGGUCGGGUUUUUCGAAUUCGGGUCAUAGUAUAUAUUUCCUUUUUUUUCUCAUUCUUCUUGCACACACUUUACAAACCCUAAAAAACUAAGUUGCAUCCUCUCUCCUAUCACCACCACCAAGAUCCUCAAUUCUAAACCAUAGCCAAAUCUCUGCAACAUCAUCUUCUUCACACAAAUCAAUCCUAUUAACCAAUCAAAGAUCUGAUCAUAAAAAUUGAAGGUAUGUUGUUUUAAUUUGUUGUUUAUCUAUUGUGUAUCUUUAAUCUAGCGAUUGAACAUUUAUCUUUCUGUUUUUUUUUUUUUUUUUUUUGCAAACAAAAUCAAGAUCAGAGGUUUUAUUAUCAUCAUCUACAUAUAUCAAUGUUACUGAUUUUUGUUGAUUUUGUUUUUCAUGUGGAACCCUAAAUCUUGGAUAAAAUCGGACUCCGAUCAUUCGUGAAACAACAGAGGUGAAGACCUUCUUUCAGACUCCUUCCCCUACAAGGAACUAUUGAAUGGGUUCCUAUGAGAAGUUGAAGAAAAGUUAUGGAUAAUGAAAACAAUGCUCCUUCGUUAUUAAAGUCGAUUGAGGACUAUGAUCCUAUAUUUUUCGAAUUGUUCGUCGACCAAAAACAGUUAUGGAUCAUGAAAACAACGCUCCUUCGUUGUUAAAGUUGAUUGAGAACUAUGAUCCUAUAUUUUUGGAAAUACCAUAUGAUUUUGCAACCUUAUUGUGGGGAGAACAACUUCCAUAUGUCAAUGUCUUAAAAUUAGUGAUGAUGAUUUAUCGUGAGUCAUUGAGUUAUAAUUUUUGUAUUUAGUUAGUUGUUAAUUCUUUAAAGAUGCCUUUGAUUUCAAUUUUAAAGUUGUUUUUGUUUCUAUAAACAGAUUACUGUUGUUAAAGGUUAUUUUUGUAUUUGGAAUUAUGAUUCGGUUUCUGUAAAUAGACUUUGUUUCUAUAAAUAUAUUACCAUUAUAUAUUUUUUAAAACAAUGGUUACUUCCUUUGCAGUUAUGGAUCCUAAAAACAACUCUCAUUCGUUGUUAAAGUUGAUUGAGGAAUAUGAUCCUAUAUUUUUGGUGUUUAUUUUGGAUGGUCCGGAGUUUUUGGCUGCAACUAUGUUGGACAGAGAUAUGCUUGCUAUUGCUGUAAAUUGGUACCAUGUCGGUUGGUUUUGCUUGGUAAGAUUUGUGACGAUGCGUCGGACAAACAACAUUGGGAAAAUAUACAGCCUUGAGCCUUGAUGACCAAUGUAUAUCUCUAUUUGAGGAAUUCUCCAAAGAUCCAGAGCCGAUUGUUUCAUAGAGCUGUGAAGUUGCGUUAAACAUACUGGAUUUUGAAUGAUCCGACAAACCAUUCGAGGUACUUUGAAGAUUAAGUCUCUUAUCUGGGUGGUUGUUACAGGUUUAGGAUGUUAAAUGAUUUUGGAUGUACUCUGCGAUGUCGAUGAUGCAGAGAUGUUGGUGAAGCUCAGGUUAACAACUUCAUGUGUAUAUUUUAAUGAAUAAAGUUUUUGUUGUUUAUAUUUUCUAAUUUAAACUUUUAAUUAACUUCUAAAUUUAAUUAAAUGAGUUUGUUUUGCAGGUUCGAACAACUUCAUGUGUAUAUUUUAUUAUAAAAAAGAAAAGUUUUUUUUUUGUUUCAUGGGUCGUUCAGAGAGGCAAGUUUCUGCCUCCGGUUCUUGCCCGAAGUUUCUGACCUUACUCGCAACCCAUUGACUAAACUUUCAAUUCAAAACAAUUAUAAAAAAAUUACGUUUGAAAACAUGUAUUUUUAUUUUAUUUAAUGACAUAACUCGAUUAAUAUAAAGUAAAUUUUUCUACCCGCGAAGUUCGCGGGUGAUAACCUAGUUUUCAUAUAAGACAAAAGCCACAACUUUAAAAUGGCUUGGUUGCUGGUUAUUCAAACAUAGAAGGUCUCGGGUUCGAUCCCCAGACUUACCUGGUUUUGGGGCGACCCUUUUUGAACUUUAAUUCAUUUUUUUAUGUUAUUUUCUUUUAUUUUUUCUCUGUUUUAAAACCAAAUGAUUAUUUUCCUUAAUUUUAAUUGCUUUUCUGUGAUAAUAUAGAUCAUGAUACAUACAAAACGAAUCCAUAGUAAUUAAAUCUUACUAACCUUUUUUUUCGUUCUUUUUCAUUAUAUUCUCAAACUUUAAAAAAAAAACCAACAAAUAAUCCCCUUUAUAUAUUUCCUUGCUAUCCUAUAAUAACUAAUUACCAAAUUAUUUUUAAACCCUUUUGUAAUACUAAAAGUUAUUAAGGGGAUAAAUUAUAAUUAGUCGAAUUGUAAAUCAUAAAUAUGAGGAAUACUAUCUAACUAAAAUAUUAGGAUUAUUUAUUUUACCAAUAAAUAAUAACAAGUUCGUUAUGUGUUACUUUAAAUAUCUAGGAUAACCAUUACGUUCGUUCUCUUGGAAUUCUCCAUCCUUACUCGUACGCAAUCAAUGUUGAUUAUUGAAGUAUGGAUGAUUGAUGAAACAAGUUUAGGGUGGACUAGAUACACACCUAAAUUUAUCUAUCUUUUUUUGUUAUGUUAUUUGUUGAAACAAUGUUGAUAUUUCCUUUUUGAAUUUGUAUGACAUUUAGUUUUGAAAUGAAAUUUGAAUUUAAUUAAA